rnacentral:rRNA from 1 species
UACGGAGGGUGCGAGCGUUGUUCGGAAUCACUGGGCGUAAAGCGCGUGUAGGCGGCCCACUAAGUCUGAUGUGAAAGCCCGGGGCUCACCCCCGGAAGUGCAUUGGAAACUGGUGGACUCGAGUCCCGGAGAGGAGAGAGGAAUUCCUGGUGUAGCGGUGAAAUGCGUAGAUAUCAGGAGGAACACCGGUGGCGAAGGCGGCUCUCUGGACGGUGACUGACGCUGAGACGCGAAAGCGUGGGGAGCAAACAGG